rnacentral:lncRNA from 1 species
UUUUCUUUCUUUCCUCUCUCUCUCUCUCCCCUUUUUUUUUUUUUUUUUAGGCUGGGAAUGUGGAAACUUUUCUGGAUUGAAAUGGCAUAUAAUUAAUUCAAAGAGUGUGAGGCGGUGUAAAUUCAGUCUCUGAGCAUGGACUGAAGUUGGUGAAUUAUAUUUAAGUAGAGGGUACUGCUCAAGGAGGAAACCCUGAGCUAGUGUUGUAAGGAGUGCCUGCUGAGUUCGAGUACAGAUAGCCUCAAAACAGUACAUCCACUUCAUUCAUACUCAAAAAUUACUCAAGCAUGACUUGCAGUGAAAAAAAAGUCCCUCAACCUCAGAGACAGUCCACGAGGAUGAAGAAAAUCAAGAGGGAACAGAGCUGUGAAGAGAACAGGCAGAUGUGCGGUGGUUAUUCAUACGCUGAGAACUGCGUGUGUGACAAGAACUUUGAUGCUUUUCCAAAAACACGAUAUUGCAAUAAUUAG